rnacentral:rRNA from 1 species
UACGGUCAAAUCACGCUGAAACACCGGUUCUCGUUCGAUCACCGAAGUUAACCAUCGUAGAGCCAGGUCAGUACUUAGAUGGGGGACCGCUUGGGAACACCUGGUACUGUAAG